AGCGAGCGCUGGCGGCAGGCUUAACACAUGCAAGUCGAGCGGGCAUCUUCGGAUGUCAGCGGCAGACGGGUGAGUAACACGUGGGAACGUACCCUUCGGUUCGGAACAACUCUGGGAAACUGGAGCUAAUACCGGAUACGCCCUUAUGGGGAAAGGUUUACUGCCGAAGGAUCGGCCCGCGUCUGAUUAGCUAGUUGGUGGGGUAACGGCCUACCAAGGCGACGAUCAGUAGCUGGUCUGAGAGGAUGAUCAGCCACACUGGGACUGAGACACGGCCCAGACUCCUACGGGAAGCAGCAGUGGGGAAUAUUGGACAAUGGGCGCAAGCCUGAUCCAGCCAUGCCGCGUGAGUGAUGAAGGCCUUAGGGUUGUAAAGCUCUUUUGUCCGGGACGAUAAUGACGGUACCGGAAGAAUAAGCCCCGGCUAACUUCGUG
rnacentral:rRNA from 1 species